ACAUGACAGUGUUCAGCCUUCUUUGUUAGGCUGUCACUCAUAAUUCCACGCCCCUCUGAGUUGAAGCCACGCCCCCUAUGCAAAAUCAGGGCCAAAAGUCUGAAACUGAA